rnacentral:lncRNA from 1 species
UUUGGUGGGGAUGUUUUACAUCAAUCAUUACUGCUUUGAUGAAAUUAAACAUACAUUUGGGAAACAUUUCUAAGGGUACGAAGGGGGAUAAAGUCUUUCUCUCUUCCUUUUCCUAAGAAGCCCAGUUCCUCAAGAGGAGGCUUUCACUACUGACCGGAUUCUGUGAAUACUUUCACAGAUAUUCUGGGCAUAUAGCAUCCCAACUAUAAAACAUAAAAGGAGUCACAAAUCCUAUAUUUCUUGUGCAGAAUGAAAAUAAUUAGAUUUUGCCUCAGAUGGAUUUAUUCACCAUUAUGAAUUAUUUAUCCACUUUAAGUUGUUCAUUCAUAAACAAGCCAAAUUAUAAAAAUCACCAUUGCCUGCCAUACAGUUGAUAUUUAAAUAUUUGCUAAAUGAAUCAAAACAUCAACACUUAGUUUUCUAGGUGAAUGUCCUGUUUUAAAAUC